GGCGGGCGUAGCAAUACGUCAGCGGCAGACGGGUGAGUAACGCGUGGGAACAUACCUCUUGGUUCGGAACAACACAGGGAAACUUGUGCUAAUACCGGAUAAGCCCUUACGGGGAAAGAUUUAUCGCCGAGAGAUUGGCCCGCGUCUGAUUAGCUAGUUGGUAGGGUAAUGGCCUACCAAGGCGACGAUCAGUAGCUGGUCUGAGAGGAUGAUCAGCCACAUUGGGACUGAGACACGGCCCAAACUCCUACGGGAGGCAGCAGUGGGGAAUAUUGGACAAUGGGGGCAACCCUGAUCCAGCCAUGCCGCGUGAGUGAUGAAGGCCCUAGGGUUGUAAAGCUCUUUUGUGCGGGAAGAUAAUGACGGUACCGCAAGAAUAAGCCCCGGCUAACUUCGUGCCAGCAGCCGCGGUAAUACGAAGGGGGCUAGCGUUGCUCGGAAUCACUGGGCGUAAAGGGUGCGUAGGCGGGUUUUUAAGUCAGAGGUGAAAUCCUGGAGCUCAACUCCAGAACUGCCUUUGAUACUGAAGAUCUUGAGUCCGGAAGAGGUGAGUGGAACUGCGAGUGUAGAGGUGAAAUUCGUAGAUAUUCGCAAGAACACCAGUGGCGAAGGCGGCUCACUGGUCCGGUACUGACGCUGAGGCACGAAAGCGUGGGGAGCAAACAGGAUUAGAUACCCUGGUAGUCCACGCCGUAAACGAUGAAUGCCAGCCGUUAGUGGGUUUACUCACUAGUGGCGCAGCUAACGCUUUAAGCAUUCCGCCUGGGGAGUACGGUCCCAAGAUAAAACUCAAAGGAAUUGACGGGGGCCCCGCACAAGCGGUGGAGCAUGUGGUUUAAUUCGACGCAACGCGCAGAACCUUACCAGCCCUUGACAUGUCCAGGACCGGUCGCAGAGAUGUGACCUUCUCUUCGGAGCCUGGAGCAAAGGUGCUGCAUGGCUGUCGUCAGCUCGUGUCGUGGGAUGUUGGGUUAAGUCCCCNNCGAGC
rnacentral:rRNA from 1 species